GCCCAGCGAAGUCUUUUUUGGGUCAAGCAGCCCAUGGUUCGGUCUCUUCAGCCCACAAGUCAGCAGUGGUUCGACCCAACAGUCGGACCAUUUGAGGCCCACGGUUUCAUCAUCAGCAGCCCAAGAAAAUUUCAGUCUAGCAGCCCAAGCUUAAGCCCAUAUUUGGUUGUGUUCAAGCCCAGCCCAAGAAUUUUCAGUAAAGCCCACUUGGUUCAGUCCAUUUUUCAGCAGGCCCAAGCCCGUUUAGUCUAAGUCCAGCAUUUGCUGUGGGCUUGCAAGGUUUCUUGGCCUGGUCCAAGUUUGUCGUGAGCCUAAGUUCGAUUGCUGUCGCGCCGUCGUCGUGGUGUUCCAGUCUUCACUUUGCACAAGUGAGUUUUACUCACUAAUACUUUCUUAGUUUGUUAAUUAUGCUUAAGGGUUGAUUAGAUUUAAUUAAGUGCAACUAGGUGGUUAAAUUAUAAUAGAUUAGUAAUUAUUAGAUAAUUGUGAUGCAUGUUAGGCAAUUGAAUUAUGCAAUUAGCGAAUAGACGUGUGCUAGUAUUUAUUGAAUGCAUCUCGGGAUUUUUUCCAACCUUUCUCAGACUUCAAUUAGGCAUUACGGGCUUAAAUUGGAUUUUUAGUAUUUAUUUAUUAUUAUUAUUUAAAAUUUAUUUAUUUAUUUAUUUUCCGAAAAUUAGACAGGGAUAGCUGACGACCGGAAUUUUAUGCCGAUUUUCGUGGUGUGGUCCAUUUAUUUAAUUAAGCUUUAUUUGUGCUGAAUUGAAUUAUUUGUGAAUGUGAGAAUUAUUCUUUAAUUGGAUAAUCGUUGGUUAUUAAUUGAAAAAUAACCAGGCAUCGGUUGAUAAUAUCAAAAAUAUUUGAGUGGACUACAGAAAAUGUUGGAGUUAUGGAAAGAAAAAUAUUAUAUUUUGGCUAAGGCCAGCCGUGUACUGACACAUGAUAAAUUUUUAUCGAGUAUCAUUAAUACGAGAGAAAUAGGCCAAUUAUUAUUUUGAUUGAGGAUUCUAAGUGUGAAGCACACAAUCCUUGGCUGAGAGUAAUUAAUCAUGUGAGGGUUAUUAGUCACAUUGAGAAGACUAUUGAAAGAUGAAAUGAUGUAUGAUGGGUGUGUAACAGUGUGGAAUAGGGCAUGGAAACCACCGGAUUUAGAAUCGAUUAUGCUUGUUGAGCCGUAAUUCAGCAUUACCAUCAAAGUAUGGUUGUCCAUUGGACAAUAGGUUACCACCUAAUCUAGGUUGUGCACGCUGAGUCGUAAUUCAGCAUUACCACUGAAUUUGGAAUUGGUUGUGCCGCUGAGCCGUAAUUCAACAUUAAUUGCCGAAGAAUUAGUAAGCCAUGCCCGCUGAGCCGUAAUUCAGCAUUAUUGCUAAAGUUUUAGUAGGUUGUACUCGCUGAGCUGCAAUUUAGCAUUGGGAUUGAGUAUUUCAUAUGACUGUGUAGGCUAUGCUUGUUGAGCCGUAAUUCAGCAGUGAACUUGAGUAAAGGAGAUGAGCCGACCAAGAAAGGGGUCGAGAUGACAUGUAAUCGACUAGAUCGAUUGAUCAAUGAUUCGAUCUGAGCGUAGAUUUAAUGUGAUUCAAUGAUUGAAUGAUCUGAUGUUGUGAAUUGAUUGAUUAAAUGGAAAUGAUCGGUGAAUGGUCCGAUUGACAUGUAAUCGACUAAGUCGAUUUGAUCGAUGUUUCGAUCUGUGAUAUUAUGAUGGGUGCCUAUUUGAAUUGUGCUAAUAUGCAGGUGGAAUCUAAAGCCAAAGUAAGUCCUCUGGCCCGUGCGUGCAUAGGCAGUCCGGUUAGUGUCUCGGUUUACUAAUCGAGUCUUAGGGGGUAGAAUUUGCCAAGACGCAGUCUCAAUGGUUAUUGUAUAACCAUUUCAAGCCCGUAGAUGAGCUUGAGGAGGAGGAACCAGAAGAGGACAAUGAGCUAGAAAAAGAUGAAGAGCUUGAAGGAAACGAACUUAGUGAAGAAGAAUAAGAGGAGAAUCAGGAUGAUCCCGAGUACGACCUUAAUAAGGACUAAGAUCCCAUCCUGUCUUGUCAGACCUAAUUUUUAUGUGGAUAAGUGUUAGAUCAAAUCUCUGUGAAUAGUAGUGUAUUAUAUACUAUGAGGUACUUGUAUAAAAGUGUGGUUGUGAAUUUUCAAUAUGAAAAAUAUUGCCCUGCUUUUUUAUCCCACUGUUUUAUUGUCAGGGGAUUUAUAACUGCUUUCGUAUGUGCAAUAAAAAAAUAAAAAGGAAAGGGUUGGCG
rnacentral:lncRNA from 1 species